rnacentral:rRNA from 1 species
AGUGAACGCUGGCGGUAGGCCUAACACAUGCAAGUCGAACGGCAGCACAGUAAUAGCUUGCUCUUACGGGUGGCGAGUGGCGGACGGGUGAGGAAUACAUCCGAAUCUACUUUUUCGUGGGGGAUAACGUAGGGAAACUUACGCCAAUACCGCAUACGACCUACGGGUGAAAGCAGGGGAUCUUCGGACCUUGCGCGAUUGAAUGAGCCGAUGUCGGAUUAGCUAGUUGGCGGGGUAAAGGCCCACCAAGGCGACGAUCCGUAGCUGGUCUGAGAGGAUGAUCAGCCACACUGGAACUGAGACACGGUCCAGACUCCUACGGGAGGCAGCAGUGGGGAAUAUUGGACAAUGGGCGCAAGCCUGAUCCAGCCAUACCGCGUGGGUGAAGAAGGCCUUCGGGUUGUAAAGCCCUUUUGUUGGGAAAGAAAAGCAGCAGGUUAAUACCCCGCUGUUCUGACGGUACCCAAAGAAUAAGCACCGGCUAACUUCGUG